rnacentral:rRNA from 1 species
UCGAUGAAAGACGCAGCAAACUGUGCGUCAUCGUGUGAACUGCAGGACACAUGAACAUCGACAUUUUGAACGCAUAUCGCAGUCCAUGCUGUUAUGUACUUUAAUUAAUUUUAUUGUGCUGCUUGGACUACAUAUGGUUGAGGGUUGUAAGACUAUGCCAAAUAAGUUGUUUAAAAUUUCUAAUAAAAGAAAAUUUUAAGCAUAUGUUAUAUUAUUGGAUGAUAAAAUAUUAUAUCCAUAAUAUUAAAAAUUAAAAUGAAAAAUUCUUAUAUUAUUGCAUGAAAAAAGAAAGAAAAUAAAUUUUAUUUAUAUUCUUUUCUCAUAUCAAAAUAAUACUGAGGAAUGUCUAGCAUAAAAUAAUAUUUAAUUUAUCUAGAAUUGUCUCUUAUUAAUUGAUUUGAAAAUGAUUUAAAUAAAUUGUCGUGUUAAUAUUAUUGUCUUUCAUCAUUGAUUUCAUUUGUAUGCAUUAAUAAAGUAAUAUAAGAAAUAUAUUUUAUUUUUAUACAACCUCAACUCAUAUGGGACUACCCCCUGAAUUUAAGCAUAUUAAUUAGGGGAGGAAAAGAAACUAACAAGGAUUUUCUUAGUAGCGGCGAGCGAAAAGAAAACAGUUCAGCACUAAGUCACUUUGUCUAUAUGGCAAAUGUGAGAUGCAGUGUAUGGAACAUCUAUAUUCUAGUAUGAGAAAUUAACGAUUUAAGUCCUUCUUAAAUGAGGCCAUUUACCCAAAGAGGGUGCCAGGCCCGUAUAACGUUAAUGAUUACUAGAUGGUGUUUCCAAAGAGUCGUGUUGCUUGAUAGUGCAGCACUAAGUGGGUGGUAAACUCCAUCUAAAACUAAAUAUAACCAUGAGACCGAUAGUAAACAAGUACCGUGAGGGAAAGUUGAAAAGAACUCUGAAUAGAGAGUUAAAUAGUACGUGAAACUGCUUAGAGGUUAAGCCCGAUGAACCUGAAUAUCCAUUAUGGAAAAUUCAUCAUUAGAGUUAUGGUAUUUUAAAAAUACUAUAAUAAUAGUGUGCAUUUUUUCCAUAUAAGGACAUUGUAAUCUAUUAGCAUCUAAUAUAUUUAACAUAAAAUAUGGCUUAUAGUUUAUUCAAAUUAAUUUGCUUGCGUUUUAACACAGAAUAAAUGUCAUUAAUUUGUUAAAGUGCUGAUAGAUUUAUAUGAAAUACAAUGCGUUAAUUUUUCGGAAUUAUAUAAUGGCAUGAUUAUCUAUGAUUUUUAUGUUUAUUAUAUGCAUUUGUAUGAUUAACAAUGCGAAAGAUUCAGGAUACCUUCGGGACCCGUCUUGAAACACGGACCAAGGAGUCUAACAUAUGUGCAAGUCAUUGGGAUUUAAAUAUAAACCUAAUGGCAUAAUUAACUUGACUUGUCUAAUGGGAUUAGUUUUUAAACUAUUUAUAGUUUAUUAAUUCAAUCCCGGGGCGUUCUAUAUAGUUAUGUAUAAUGGUAAUUAUUUAUUAUUUAUACCUCUAACUGGAACGUACCUUGAGCAUAUAUGCUGUGACCCGAAAGAUGGUGAACUAUACUUGAUCAGGUUGAAGUCAGGGGAAACCCUGAUGGAAGACCGAAACAGUUCUGACGUGCAAAUCGAUUGUCAGAAUUGAGUAUAGGGGCGAAAGACCAAUCGAACCAUCUAGUAGCUG